CAAGCGGUGGAGCAUGUGGUUUAAUUCGAUGCAACGCGAAGAACCUUACCUACUCUUGACAUCCACGGAAUUCGGCAGAGAUGCCUUAGUGCCUUCGGGAACCGUGAGACAGGUGCUGCAUGGCUGUCGUCAGCUCGUGUUGUGAAAUGUUGGGUUAAGUCCCGCAACGAGCGCAACCCUUAUCCUUUGUUGCCAGCGAUUCGGUCGGGAACUCAAAGGAGACUGCCGGUGAUAAACCGGAGGAAGGUGGGGAUGACGUCAAGUCAUCAUGGCCCUUACGAGUAGGGCUACACACGUGCUACAAUGGCGCAUACAAAGAGAAGCGACCUCGCGAGAGCAAGCGGACCUCAGAAAGUGCGUCGUAGUCCGGAUCGGAGUCUGCAACUCGACUCCGUGAAGUCGGAAUCGCUAGUAAUCGUGGAUCAGAAUGCCACGGUGAAUACGUUCCCGGGCCUUGUAUACACC
rnacentral:rRNA from 1 species